rnacentral:rRNA from 1 species
GUGUCAGCAGCCGCUGUAAGACGGACCGGUCGAACGUUAUUCGGAAUCACUGGGCUUAAAGAGUGCGUAGGCGGUCUUGCAGGUGAGGUGUGAAAUCCCCCGGCCCAACCGGGGAACUGCGCUUCAAACCGCAAGGCUUGAGGGAGAUAGAGGUGAGCGGAACUGAUGGUGGAGCGGUGAAAUGCGUUGAUAUCAUCACGAACACCCGUGGCGAAAGCGGCUCACUGGGUCUCUUCUGACGCUGAGGCACGAAAGCUAGGGUAGCGAACAGGAUUAGAUACCCUGGUAGUCCUAGCUGUAAACGAUGAGCACUUGUUCGGGGGGACCUCCACAUCUUCUCGGACGUAGCGAAAGUGUUAAGUGCUCCGCCUGGGGAGUAUGGUCGCAAGGCUGAAACUCAAAUAAAUUGACGG